rnacentral:lncRNA from 10 species
UUUGAUUUAAUUGUUUGAUGAAAGAGAAGGGGCAAAUAAUUUGAUAGACAAGUGAAGAGAGAAAGAAAAAACUUGGCAAGAUUUCUAACAUUUUAAAAUGUGAAUGUCCUCUUAUGUUCUCAUAUUAUAUGAGAGUGGAAUUGUUCACAAAAAUCUUAGGUCAUUCACAGGGACCAUGAGGAUCGCUCUAAAUGCUGAUUCUUCAGGAGAAGUCUGAUCAAACAGGGUACUCCAAUGUAUACCACGACAUGAAAAGGCUUGUAUGACCGUGACUCCUGGAAUUUCAAAGUCUUCAGUCACAGAAAUGAAGUUCACUGUUGCAGACUGUACAUCUGAAGACUGAUCCUGGGUCAGACACCACCUGCCUAACUGAACAUUGGCAACUCUAGACUCCAAGUUCCUUGAGAAUGAGAACAGUUUCCUUCACCUUGGAAUCCUCAUCCAGGGCUGUGCAGUCCACGGACACCCUCACCGCUCCCGUGAACAUUAGCCAUCAUUUUGCAGAACAGACAUGAGCUCCAGGGAAGACAGCUACCUUGAAUCGCACAGCUGCAAGAAUAUGAACUUUGCCAACAACCUGAGACAGCCUGAAAGCAGCUCCUUACCUAACCGAGCCUCCAGAUGAGACCCAGUCCUGGCUGACAUCUUGACUGCAGCCUUGAGAGGACCCAGUUAAGCUGUGCCUCGACUCCUGAGCCACAGAAACUGUGAGAUAAUAGAUGGAUGUUAUUUUAAGCUGCUAAGUUUCUGAUAAUUUGUUACACAGUGUAGAGAACUAAUAUACUGGUACUACUCUCUAUUUUCAACAAUAUCUAUUCUCAACACAGCAGCCAGAGGAUCCUGUUAAUAUGUACGUCUUUUUCUAUUUAAAACAGUCUGGGGUCUUCCCCAACACAGAGCAAUAGCCACAGUUACACCACAGCUCACAUGGCCACACACACACUGUCUCACUGGCCUGGCCUCCUACUGCUUUCUCCUGGCUCACUUGAUUGAUACUGGCCACCUUUUCAAUUCCCCAACAUGCCAGGCAUGCUCCCUGGGCCUUGGUUUCCUCUGUCUGGAAUACUCUUCCUUCCAGUAUCCAUGCAGCUCACUCCCUCAGCUCUUGCACAUCUUUGCUCAAAUGUCAUUCUCUUGAUGAGGCCUUCCCUUUUUAUUCCCAAUAAAAAAAUUGCAAUACUCCUCCUACUCCACCACUCUUCACUGUCAUGUCCUGCUUUUCUUUUCUCCAUAGUACUUAAACCAUCUGACAUACUAUAUGUUUUACCUAUUUGUUUAUUGGCUAUCUCUCCACAGCAGGACAUAAGCUCCCUAAAUGCAGGAACUUUUUUAUCAGCUUUUUCCAUUGCUUUAUCUCCAGUGUUUAGAGCAGGUCUGACACAUAAUACAUAUUCGGUAAAUAUUUGUUGAAAUAAAUUUCAAAUAUUUAUAUGAAAUCUGCUCUUAGAUUAUAUUUCCAGCCAUAUUGUAAAAUCUUCCAUUUAAGUAUAAUAUAGGCAUCAUCAAAAAAACCUCAAGACUAUUAUUUACAUUAUCUGCUCUAACAACAAAGACAUGGACCAUUUCAGGAAAAUCACUUUCUACUGUAGAAGAAAACCACAUCAAUCCAAUUCAGUGAAAUCCACCACAUAUCCAAAUUUCCCUUUCAUUAUAUGGAUCUGAAAGCCGAACUCUGCUACCCUAAGAGUAGGCUGCUCAAUAAUGAGCUGGCAGAAAACUGAAGCACCAAAAUCAAGACACUUUCUAUACAACAAUGGUGUUCUCAAAGUAAAGUUCUAUCAACUUUCUCUAUGAUUGUAAAAUGAGAAAGCUGUUUCUUUAAGCAAUUUUAAGAGUAAGCUUUGGCAGCACCCACUUAUCACUAACUGGCAGAACUAAAUAUCUAAGAUCUUGAAUCUAGAAUCUCUACCAAUAUCUGUUGGGCAGCAGGAGUUGAGGCAUGAUCCCAUGGCCCAGCACCAUACUGAACAGGACUUGUGGGGCAGGGAGGUAGCAAGACCCAGGAGCUGCUGUGUGGCAAGCAGAAGUCCAAUAAUUGCACAUACCUAGAGAAUAAUCACCGGAAAAGACAGAGGACAGAGCCCUGGUGUAGUGGAAAGAGAGUGGACCUUGGAGUCAGAAAGACCUGCUUUGUUUGAAUCCAAACUCUGCUCCUGACCCCUCACCUUAGGAAAACUACACUACCUCAAUUUCAUUU